UGACCCUUUAAGCCAAAGGGUCACCUAGCCAACUGACGUUGUUAGUGAAAUUUACUUUCACAUGAACAAUAAAGCCAACCGGGAUAUUGCGGUUGGCUUCUUUUUU
rnacentral:sRNA from 13 species